GCGCGGGGCAACCUGGCGGCGAGUGGCGAACGGGUGAGUAAUAUAUCGGAACGUACCCAGAAGUGGGGGAUAACGUAGCGAAAGUUACGCUAAUACCGCAUACGAUCUACGGAUGAAAGUGGGGGACCUUCGGGCCUCAUGCUUUUGGAGCGGCCGAUAUCUGAUUAGCUAGUUGGUGGGGUAAAGGCCUACCAAGGCGACGAUCAGUAGCUGGUCUGAGAGGACGACCAGCCACACUGGAACUGAGACACGGUCCAGACUCCUACGGGAGGCAGCAGUGGGGAAUUUUGGACAAUGGGCGCAAGCCUGAUCCAGCAAUGCCGCGUGAGUGAAGAAGGCCUUCGGGUUGUAAAGCUCUUUUGUCAGGGAAGAAACGGUAGAGGCUAAUAUCCUUUGCUAAUGACGGUACCUGAAGAAUAAGCACCGGCUAACUACGUGCCAGCAGCCGCGGUAAUACGUAGGGUGCAAGCGUUAAUCGGAAUUACUGGGCGUAAAGCGUGCGCAGGCGGUUUUGUAAGUCUGACGUGAAAGCCCCGGGCUCAACCUGGGAAUUGCGUUGGAGACUGCAAGGCUUGAAUCUGGCAGAGGGGGGUAGAAUUCCACGUGUAGCAGUGAAAUGCGUAGAGAUGUGGAGGAACACCGAUGGCGAAGGCAGCCCCCUGGGUCAAGAUUGACGCUCAUGCACGAAAGCGUGGGGAGCAAACAGGAUUAGAUACCCUGGUAGUCCACGCCCUAAACGAUGUCUAC
rnacentral:rRNA from 1 species